AUGUUAUGUAUGCCAGAUUUUGGGACUUCCAGCAUGGCUGAUGAAACUGGCAAUGACAGUCAGAUGUUCGAAGGUAAUGAGAUUGUUGACCCUGGUAAUGAGGCAGUCCAUGGUGAUGAGGCAGUCCAAGGUGGCGAGUUGGUCGAAGUUGAUGAACUAGCUCAAGGUGAUGAGUUGGCUCAAGGCGAGGACUUAACACAGGGUGACGAAUUGCUCCAAGGGAAUGAGAUGGCCAUCACUGAGGUGGCCACUCCUCCAACCACGAGGCGCCGGAGAAAGAAGUCCCUGGUGUGGGAGCACUUCACUAUCGAAGAUGCUGCUGGAGGGGCCACUCGGGCUUGCUGCAAACUUUGCAAGCAAACCUUCGCGUACAGCUCUGGUUCAAAAAUUGCUGGGACUAGCCAUCUCAAGAGGCACAUCACCUUGGGUUCCUGUCCUAAGAUAAAAGGCCAAGGGCAUAAGCUAGCAAUUACAAUUGGGACUGACAAUGAUGGUGAUGGUACUGUGGAGAGGCGGUCUAAGAGGCGUUACAGAUAUACUGGUUAUGCGAAUGCGGCUUUUGAUCAAGACCGCAGUUAUUCAUACUUGGCAAAGAUGAUCAUUUUGCAUGACUACCCGCUCCACAUUGUUCAACAACCAGCCUUCACUGCUUUUAUUGAUAGUCUGCAGCCUCGUUUCAGGGUUGUUGAUGUUGAUGCAAUGGAGGUGGAGGUUUAUGCUGUUUAUCAGAAAGAAAAAGAGAACCUUUUGCAAGCAUUCAGCGCUAUGCCUGGAAGGAUCAGCCUCACCAUUGGAUUGUGGACAACUAGUCAAACUCUUGGCUAUGUUUCAGUUUCUGGGCAGUUCAUUGACUCUGAAUGGAAAUUACAUCGAAGAAUGCUUAGCUUCAUGAUGGUGUCUUCGCCUCAUUCGGACAAUGCACUUAGUGAAGCUAUUAGCUCAAGCCUUACUGACUGGGGUAUGAAGGAGAAGCUAUUUACCAUCACGUUGGAUAAUGAUUCUUUAUCUCAUGACAUCUACAGUGCAAAUCUGAGAGAUCAGCUCUCCGGUAAGAAUAACCUCAUGCUUAAGGGUCAGCUAUUUGUUGUGAGGUGCUAUGCCCAUAUCCUGGAUGCGGCUGCACAAGAUGUCAUUGCUUUAAUCCACGGUGUCAUCUACAGCAUCCGUGAAAGCAUAAAGUUCAUAAAAGCUUCUCCUAGUCGUGAGGAAAAGUUUGCUGAGAUUGCUCUGCAGCUGGAGAUCCCCAGUACGAAGACCCUUUGUCUGGAUGUUACAACCCAGUGGAACACAACCUAUCUGAUGCUCUUGGCUGCCUUGGAUUAUAGGCAGGCUUUCAUUACACUAGAAACAGUUGAUGAUAACUACAAUGAAGCACCUUCAGCUGAGGACUGGAAAAAAAUUGAGGCUGCCUGCAAUUACUUGAGGCUGCUCUAUGACUCGGCUCAUAGCAUCAUGGCAGCAGGAAACCCAACCUCAAACAUUUUCUUCCAUGAAGCCUGGAAACUGCAGCUAGAGCUGGGAAAUGGUUCAGCACACGAAGAUCCAAUUUUCAGUAGCAUCGCCAAAGACAUGUAUGAGAGGUUUGACAAAUACUGGAAAGAUUGCAACCUUGUGUUAGCUGUUGCUGUUGUGAUGGAUCCACGUUUUAAGAUGAAGCUUGUGGAGUUCAGUUACUCAAAGAUUUACGGCGUUGAGGCUGCGAAGUAUGUUAAGGUGGUAAAUGAUUCGGUGCAUGACCUUUUCAAGGAUUAUGUCGCACAGCCGCUCCCCUUAACACCGGCCUAUGCUGAACAAGGGAAAACUGAUAAUGCUACUGCCAAUGGGAACAACACCCAAGCAACUCAGCCUUCAACUGGUGACGGCCUUCAAGACUUUGAUAUAUAUCUUUCUGAGAUUGCCACAACCCAGCCCUCAAAAUCUGAACUAGAGCAGUACCUGGACGAGUCUCUCACUCCUCGCAUCCAAGAGUUUGACAUUCUUAACUGGUGGAAGCUCAACAUGCAAAAGUAUCCGACGCUCUCAAAGAUGGCGCGGGACAUCUUGGCCAUCCCAGUGUCCAUGGUGACCGGCGGCACCUCUAUAUUUUCUGCAGGAACAGGAUGCCACGUGCUCGACGACUACAGAAGCUCGCUCCGUCCGGAAAUCGUGGAGGCGCUCGUCUGUGCGAAGGACUGGCUUCCGAAUUCGACCGCCGCACCGGAGGCGCUGGGCUCUGGGCUUCUCAAGAUGGACUAG
rnacentral:rRNA from 1 species